GAAAAGGUCCAUGUGGUUCAAUUAUUAAAUGGCAACUUUACAUACAGAAGUUAUUAACUGGCAACCUUUCAUGCAAUUGUGAUGGACAAGUGAAUAUGAAUUUGAGAUGUCAACCAAUCAUUGUAUUCUUUCAUGUUUAUAUUGCUUCAAAUUCAAGAAACAAACUUAUUCGAAUUAAGUUUUGUAUUGCUACGUAAUUAUGAAUGAUUUCUAGAAAAUUGCAGUAUAUGAUAUAUGGCAGAAAAUUGCAGUCCUUAUUUGGUACGUGUAUUCACGAUAAUAAUUUUGGUUUGAAAAAAUCAUUUUUCUUCCGGUUAAUUGGCAAGUGGUACAUGCUCAAAUAACUAUAUUGGAAGAUAUGUGGAGAUUGCAAUAUUAUUAUUAUGAAAAGGCAUGUUGGGUGUUAACUUA
rnacentral:sRNA from 1 species